rnacentral:rRNA from 1 species
UACAGAGGUCUCAAGCGUUGUUCGGAUUCAUUGGGCGUAAAGGGUGUGUAGGUGGCGCCGUAAGUCGGGUGUGAAAUCUCGGGGCUUAACUCCGAAACUGCAUUCGAUACUGCGGUGCUCGAGGACUGGAGAGGAGACUGGAAUUCAUGGUGUAGCAGUGAAAUGCGUAGAGAUCAUGAGGAAGAUCAGUGGCGAAGGCGGGUCUCUGGACAGUUCCUGACACUGAGGAGCGAAAGCGUGGGGAGCGAACAGG